rnacentral:misc_RNA from 1 species
AAACUGCGAUAAGUAGUGUGAAUUGCAGAAUUCAGUGAAUCAUCGAAUCUUUGAACGCACAUUGCGCCCCUUGGUAUUCCAUGGGGCAUGCCUGUUCGAGCGUCAUUUGUACCCUCAAGCUCUGCUUGGUGUUGGGUGUUUGUCCCGUCUCCGCGCGUGGACUCGCCCCAAAGUGAUUGGCAGCCGGCGUACUGGUCCCGGAGCGCAGCACAUGUCGCGCAAACGAGUGCCUUGGUACGGCGGCGUCCAUAAGCCCCUCUCUCACGCUCUUGACCUCGGAUCAGGUAGGGAUACCCGCUGAACUUAAGC